AGCUUGCUGCUUCGCUGACGAGUGGCGGACGGGUGAGUAAUGUCUGGGAAACUGCCUGAUGGAGGGGGAUAACUACUGGAAACGGUAGCUAAUACCGCAUAACGUCGCAAGACCAAAGAGGGGGACCUUCGGGCCUCUUGCCAUCGGAUGUGCCCAGAUGGGAUUAGCUAGUAGGUGGGGUAACGGCUCACCUAGGCGACGAUCCCUAGCUGGUCUGAGAGGAUGACCAGCCACACUGGAACUGAGACACGGUCCAGACUCCUACGGGAGGCAGCAGUGGGGAAUAUUGCACAAUGGGCGCAAGCCUGAUGCAGCCAUGCCGCGUGUAUGAAGAAGGCCUUCGGGUUGUAAAGUACUUUCAGCGGGGAGGAAGGGAGUAAAGUUAAUACCUUUGCUCAUUGACGUUACCCGCAGAAGAAGCACCGGCUAACUCCGUGCCAGCAGCCGCGGUAAUACGGAGGGUGCAAGCGUUAAUCGGAAUUACUGGGCGUAAAGCGCACGCAGGCGGUUUGUUAAGUCAGAUGUGAAAUCCCCGGGCUCAACCUGGGAACUGCAUCUGAUACUGGCAAGCUUGAGUCUCGUAGAGGGGGGUAGAAUUCCAGGUGUAGCGGUGAAAUGCGUAGAGAUCUGGAGGAAUACCGGUGGCGAAGGCGGCCCCCUGGACGAAGACUGACGCUCAGGUGCGAAAGCGUGGGGAGCAAACAGGAUUAGAUACCCUGGUAGUCCACGCCGUAAACGAUGUCGACUUGGAGGUUGUGCCCUUGAGGCGUGGCUUCCGGAGCUAACGCGUUAAGUCGACCGCCUGGGGAGUACGGCCGCAAGGUUAAAACUCAAAUGAAUUGACGGGGGCCCGCACAAGCGGUGGAGCAUGUGGUUUAAUUCGAUGCAACGCGAAGAACCUUACCUGGUCUUGACAUCCACGGAAGUUUUCAGAGAUGAGAAUGUGCCUUCGGGAACCGUGAGACAGGUGCUGCAUGGCUGUCGUCAGCUCGUGUUGUGAAAUGUUGGGUUAAGUCCCGCAACGAGCGCAACCCUUAUCCUUUGUUGCCAGCGGUCCGGCCGGGAACUCAAAGGAGACUGCCAGUGAUAAACUGGAGGA
rnacentral:rRNA from 1 species